rnacentral:lncRNA from 1 species
UCUUUCUUUCUUUUUCUUUUUUUUUCUUUCUUUUUUCUUUUCCUUCCUCCCUUUCUUCCUCUUCUCCCUCCCCCUCCCCUCCCCUGAUCCCUCUCUCGGUACCUCCAUGGCAGCAACCAACAGGUGAGAAUCAAUUUUUUUUUUUUUUUGCUUUUUUUCUCUUCCCCUCUCCCUCCCCCCCUCCCUCUUGUCCCUCCCCCUCUCCCCUUCCCCUCUCCUUUACCCCGCUACCCUCUUUUUUUUUUCUGCUUUUUUUGUCUUCUCCUCUCCCUCCCCUGCCACUCCUCCCUUUCCCUUCCUCGCCAUCCCUUCCUUCCUCCGCCGGCCCUUCCCUUCCCCUUCCUUCCCCAGCCACCCUCUCCUUCCCGCUUCGGCCUCCCCUAGCUGCGAUCUAGUCGUGCGACCAGAUCGCAGCUCCCUUCCCUCUCCCCCUUUGCGAUCUAGUCGCGCGACCAGAUCCGUCAAAGGGGGAGGGGGAGGGUGGCGGGGGAGGCAGAGGGGAAGAGGGGAGGAGGGAGGGAGAAAGAAAAAAGAAAAAGAGCUUCAGUGACUAGAUCGGGCAAAGGGGGAAGGGGAGGGUGGCGGGGGCAGCAGAGUCGAAGAGGGAGGGAGGAGGGAGAGAAAAAAAAAGAGGACCGCUGGAAUAGUGAUUGCCGCCGGAAGUGGUGGUGGAGUGGUCACAGGCGCCGGAGGACGUGGUGGGUUGGGUGGGGGAGGAAAAAGAAGAAAAGUUGAAGAGAAAGUUUUUUGUGUAUUUUUGAAGUGUGUUAGGUUAAAAACUUUGAUAAGUUUUUGGAGUUCCUGUAGUAAAAGUUGUUAAAAAACUAGUUUUAUACAAACUUGGUAAAAAACCAAGCUUCCAAACAGGGCCAUCAUUAGUUUGUUAGCUUAGGAUUCAUUGUAUACUACGUAAGUAGUAGUACUUUUGCUUACUGUGCUGGAGGAAAGAUUAUCUUUAUUUACGGGCUAAGGUUUGUAAUUUAUAAGUCGAAACUCAAAAUAAUAACCAAUUUGUUAGUGAA